rnacentral:siRNA from 1 species
AUUGGGUACACAAAUAAACAAAAG